GGUAACGGCUUACCAAGGCGACGAUGUCUAGGGGCUCUGAGAGGAGAAUCCCCCACACUGGUACUGAGACACGGACCAGACUCCUACGGGAGGCAGCAGUAAGGAAUAUUGGUCAAUGGGCGGAAGCCUGAACCAGCCAUGCCGCGUGCAGGAUGACUGCCCUAUGGGUUGUAAACUGCUUUUGUCCGGGAAUAAACCCAGGUACGUGUACCUGGCUGAAUGUACCGGAAGAAUAAGGAUCGGCUAACUCCGUGCCAGCAGCCGCGGUAAUACGGAGGAUCCGAGCGUUAUCCGGAUUUAUUGGGUUUAAAGGGUGCGUAGGCGGCCCAUUAAGUCAGGGGUGAAAUACGGUGGCUCAACCAUCGCAGUGCCUUUGAUACUGAUGGGCUUGAAUCCAUUUGAAGUGGGCGGAAUAAGACAAGUAGCGGUGAAAUGCAUAGAUAUGUCUUAGAACUCCGAUUGCGAAGGCAGCUCACUAAGCUGGUAUUGACGCUGAUGCACGAAAGCGUGGGGAUCGAACAGGAUUAGAUACCCUGGUAGUCCACGCCCUAAACGAUGAUAACUCGAUGUUGGCGAUAGACAGCCAGCGUCCCAGCGAAAGCGUUAAGUUAUCCACCUGGGGAGUACGCCCGCAAGGGUGAAACUCAAAGGAAUUGACGGGGGCCCGCACAAGCGGAGGAGCAUGUGGUUUAAUUCGAUGAUACGCGAGGAACCUUACCCGGGCUUGAAAGUUAGUGAAGGAUGCAGAGACGCAUCCGUCCUUCGGGACACGAAACUAGGUGCUGCAUGGCUGUCGUCAGCUCGUGCCGUGAGGUGUUGGGUUAAGUCCCGCAACGAGCGCAACCCCUAUGUUUAGUUGCCAGCAUGUAAUGGUGGGGACUCUAAACAGACUGCCUGUGCAAACAGUGAGGAAGGUGGGGACGACGUCAAGUCAUCAUGGCCCUUACGUCCGGGGCUACACACGUGCUACAAUGGAUGGUACAGCGGGCAGCUACAUAGCAAUAUGAUGCUAAUCUCUAAAAGCCAUUCACAGUUCGGAUUGGGGUCUGCAACUCGACCCCAUGAAGUUGGAUUCGCUAGUAAUCGCGUAUCAGCAAUGACGCGGUGAAUACGUUCCCGGGCCUUGUACACACCGCCCGUCAAGCCAUGAAAGUUGGGGGUACCUAAAGCAUGUGACCGCAAGGAGCGUGUUAGGGUAAAACCGAUAAUUGGGGCUAAGUCGUAACAAGGUAGCCGUACCGGAAGGUGCGGCUGGAAUACCUCCUUUCUA
rnacentral:rRNA from 2 species